rnacentral:rRNA from 1 species
CCCUUAGACGUUCUGGGCCGCACGCGCGCUACACUGACGAAGGCAACGAGCUUUCCUUUACCGAAAGGUACGGGUAAUCUUUUGAAACUUCGUCGUGCUGGGGAUAGAUCCUUGCAAUUUUUGAUCUUAAACGAGGAAUUCCUAGUAAGCGCAAGUCAUCAACUUGCGUUGAUUACGUCCCUGCCCUUUGUACACACCGCCCGUCGCUACUACCGAUUGAAUGGUUUAGUGAGGCCUUCGGAUCCGCGACUCGUUUUGUGGAGAAGUUGGACAAACUCAGUCAUUUAGAGGAAGUAAAAGUCGUAAC